CCUCAUUUUCUGCAAAUGAAGCCUCCCCAAAUAUUGGCAUUCUCUCUUCUGGUGUUGUUCGUUUUCAUUCCUAGUACUGUUCAAGGAAAGGGUAGGAAACUUUUUACUGCAACUACUUGUACUUCUCCUUCGUCUACCACCACUUCAAAGAGAGAAGAGAUCGAUGGAUAAAACAAAGCUAACGACAACCCUACUUCAAACUCAAACCAGAGAAACUCCAUGACCAGUAUGCCGACAUUGUGGAAAUGGACUGUUCUCCUGCUAGGAGAAAACCUCCAAUUCACAACUAAGAGUAGGGGGACCAAAAAGAAGCAAAAGUUUUGCUGGAAAUCGGGAACAGUCUUCCAUGAAUGCUGCAGAUUUUUUAGGAUUAUGAAACGAUCUUGGUUUGCACAUAAUACUAUUUCUUUUAGGUUUUGUAAUCUUACAUACUAUAGAAUCAAAGUUUUGUAGAUUUUGGUUUUUUGAUAACAUAACUAGUUAACGAUU